CCAGACUUGGGCUUGGUUAAUCAUCUGGGGUUCUCCCCAGUGCACUUUUCCAGUCCAGGCCAGCAUCAGUUUGGGCGGUUGGAUAAAGGUCUCUGUCACGUACCUCCUCUCGGGGAGGCCUUAUAGGGGAGACGACAUGCAACCAGCCUGGACUGAGGUCCGCGCAUCUGCUAGGAUGCUGGCGUAAUGGCUGUAAGCGG
rnacentral:rRNA from 1 species